rnacentral:Y_RNA from 1 species
GACUGGUCCAAAGGUAGUGAGUUAUCUCAAUUAACUGUUCACAGUUACAGAUCGAACUCCUUAUUCUACUCUUGCUUCCUUCUCACUACUGCACUUGACUAGUAUUAA